UUUAAGCUUUAAGAGUUAGUCAAACAUAAGUUUAGAUUCUUUAUGGGAAGAGGGCCAAAUUUGACAUUUGGGCUUGAUGCGGAAGAGGAGGCCAAAUCUAACAUUUAGGCUUGUAGUGGUAAGAAGGGCCAAAUUUAACUGUAUUUGGGCUGGAUGUGGAAGAGAGGCCAAAUUCAAAAGUAUUUGGGCUGGAUGUGGAUGGGUGGCUAAAUCUAACAAUAUUUGGGUUGG
rnacentral:lncRNA from 1 species